rnacentral:tRNA from 1 species
GGAGAGGUGUCCGAGUGGUUGAAGGUGCCGCUCUCGAAAAGCGGUGAGGUUAAUAGCCUCCGUGGGUUCGAAUCCCACCCUCUCCGCCA